CGCAGCAGCUGUCAAGUCCUUUAAGCAAAGUGUAAAUAGCUGUUUGUACCGGUGGACACAGACGUGCUCAAAGCUGGCACAGCAGGAUCUCUCAAGAGCACUUCGCUUUAAUGUUUCCAGGCAAGAGCAAGUAGCAGGUCUCAUCCUGACGUCCUACACACACAGAGAUGCUAAAUGCAUCCAAUCCAAACAGACUCAAUUUGUUGUGUAUUUCUUAGAUGUUGAGAAGAGACUCUGACACAAACAAGCAUCAGAUCCGGUCGGGGGUCUUCUCCCAGGUGUAAGCAGGCUAAAGACCACAAGUACCAUAUUGUGUAACUCUGCAAAGGAAGCAAAUCAGAUCGCCAAGCUGCUAUGGAGGGGAACCACAUAAGAAAGCCACUUGACCCAUAUUGCAUUUUCUAAGAGGAUGAAAUAGACUCUUAUGCUAAAUUGUCAAAAUCUCAGAGUUGCUUAUUACAAUAUAUCUACUUCUAUCAUGGGUAUAAAUGCAGUUAAUUCCUUCAGAUUUUCAACACAUUCAGAUAUAUAGGCAAUUAUAUAAUACAAAAAUAUAUUCAUGUAUAUAUUGUUAUGAGUAUGCUUGCUAUUAAUGCUCCUAUUUUACAUGCUGUUGUAGUGGGUAGCCAUUCCAGUUUUGAUCUGGAAGUUCCAACCCCCAUUGAGGCUUCGGUAACUGUCACGCCUACAAGGUGGGGCUGAGAGAGGAUGCUGAAGACCUGAGAUCUGGAUGGGCCGGCUCUCUUGGUUCCUGGACCCUGGACACUGGAGGUAGACCCAGCAGAGUUCUCCAGAGAACACCGCUGGACUGCACUACAACUUUCCCAGACCCUGUAACCUUUCCCUU